GGGUGCGUAACACGUAAAUAAUCUGCCCUGUAGACGGGGAAAACAAACCGAAAGGUCUGCUAAUUCCCGAUACGUUCCAAUGAUUUUAAAGAUCAAUGGAAGAAAGUAGCCCUCUGAUCUAAGGUUGCGCUAUAGGAUGAGUUUGCGUCCCAUCAGCUUGUUGGUGAGGUAAUGGCUCACCAAGGCUAUGACGGGUAGCUGGUCUGAGAGGACGAUCAGCCACACUGGGACUGAGACACGGCCCAGACUCC
rnacentral:rRNA from 1 species